UACGUAGGGUGCGAGCGUUGUCCGGAAUUAUUGGGCGUAAAGAGCUCGUAGGCGGUUUUGUUGCGUCGGCUGUGAAAACCUGCGGCUUAACUGUGGGCUUGCAGUCGAUACGGGCAGACUUGAGUUCGGCAGGGGAGACUGGAAUUCCUGGUGUAGCGGUGAAAUGCGCAGAUAUCAAGGAGGAACACCGGUGGCGAAGGCGGGUCUCUGGCCGAUACUGACGCUGAGGAGCGAAAGCGUGGGGGAGCGAACAGG
rnacentral:rRNA from 1 species